GCAUUAUAAUAUAGGAAAAAUAAUUAAUUUUUUGCGAAAAUAAAAUUUAAUAUAGGUUUAGAAACAUGUUGAUGCAUUCAUGCCGCAGUACUUAUUUUUGUGAUGUGUGAAAUUAUGCAAAAGAAAUUUUGUUCAAAAUUCAAUUUGUAAAUGCUUUUGAAAACAAGUUGGAAAAAAUAAUAAAAAAAGAAAUCCAUCUCUCUCCCUUCCCCCUCACUUUCGGCCUGCUUGGCCCAAUUCGAGCAGCACGCCAGCACCCUAACUCCCUCUCUCUCUCUCCCACUGACGAGUGGGGCCCACCUGUCGGCUCCUUCUCCCUCCCCCAACCGUUCCCUCCUUCUCUCACGCACAGGAAGCCGCAACCGGCGCCCCGCUCCCACGACGACGCACCCACGCCCACGUCUCUCGGUCUCUCGCGACUUAGAGUUGUUGCCGACCUCGCACCUCUCUCCCCCUCCUCUAUUUCCGCACUCGCAGCCGCAACCAAGCGUCUAGACAGUAAGAAAGACCACCGCUGAAGCACUGCAGACCAGCCACGCGACGUCCCGGUGAAUCAAGCCGCCUCUGCCUCCUUUCGCUGUGCCGGUGAGCUCGCCAACUCCUUCCCUCUCUCUCUGCCUUUCCUGUCCGGUUGGUAGCCGCUAGGGCCUUCUUCGCGAACUCCGGUGAGCACCAUGGCCGCCGGCUAUGGCGCAGACCACGCGAACUUCUCCCGGCUGCGUUGAGGGCUGAAGCACGCUCGCCUUCGCUCACUCUCCCUCCCCGGCUUUUUCCCAUGCGAAACCGUGGCCUCGGGAGUUCUCCCCGCGAGCUCCGACGGGUCGUUCAUGGCGCCACCGUGAACCUCCGCGGAAACCGCCUCCCCGACCGCGCUUAUAGUUGGGAACGGACUCGCAUCGCUCUCCUCUCUCCGAGUGCUUUUGGAAUCGAAAACCGUGCACCGUAGCUCCCCAUCGGCUCGACUCCAGCGAGCUUCGGGUGGCCGGCCAUGGUGGCCACCGUAUUCUUCCCCGAGGCGCCUGUGUGCCAUCCCCCUGCCUCUCUCUCUCUCUCUCUUUCUUUUUUUUAAUCCAGCGCGUUCAAGCUUGAUCCAACGACCAGAAUCACUUGAUACCCCUUCGUUUGACAUUUUGUUAAAGAGCCUCCCAGGAAUCCUGUUUUCGUGCGCGCAGUCCUCGGCCAGAGGAUUUUUCCAGGAUUUCAUUCAUUUAUUUAAUUUCAUUUAAACUCUGCUUUAAUUAUAGAAUUGCCACCGCAUUGUUUUAGCUAUAAAAUCGUCGUUUGAACUCUGAAUCGAUCCGUUCAAGUUGCGUUAGUUUCGUAAUUUCGUAAGCUUCGCGUUGGUACCACUGUUGUUUAGGUUUACCACUGUUAGAUUUCCUAGUUAAUUACAAGUCCGUAGAUUGCUGUUGAAAUCUCAUUAAAAGUGUAACUUUCGCGUCGUAAGUCCGUUUUUUGUGAAUUUUGCGUUGACGUGAUCGUAGCAGCACGUAGAUGAUUUUGGAAAACUUUUAUUUAAUUUAUUUACUGCUGGUGUACUAUUCUAACUAUAGAAUUUGUUCUCUUGCAUGUCUGUCUUGGUAUGCGUGAUGAUUGUGAUGUGUUGAUCGAGCCCAGACGGUGAGGAGUAUUUCGGGAGUCCGGAGCUGUUUGGGGACCAGCAGGACCAGCAAGACCAGCAUGAGUAUGUGAACUAAGGCAAGUAUAGCAUGGGCCUACCUUGUUGUCUUACUCAUUUUAAGCAUUUCACCAUGCAUGUGUAUAAUAUUACAAACUAUAAGGACAUCCUAGCUGUUGAUGACAAAUACCUUGUUUCCGAGGGUCUUUAUUGCAUAUGGGUAGAAGUGCUAGUGCUCUAACUCUAAUUAUAUAGGACCUGAAAUUAGUGAUGGAACCAUGGUUAAUUGAUUAAACAUGAUUAUGAUAAAUGGAACAUAGGGCUAUGGUACAAAUGACUGUUGGUCAUGUUGUCCUAGACCCUGCGUAAGGACUUAUCUGUCGGCAAAAGUUGGGACUUACAGUGCAACCGGGAGAGUCAUCUGGCUCUGACUUUAGUUCUGUAAUAGGAUCUCUUCUAACUUGUUAGAGGUUACUCGAAAGGGCGUAAGAGGGGCUUGCCACUUUGGGUGUAGUACUGCCCCUAUUUCUAUGAGUAUAGCCACGAUGGAAAUGUGCCAUAGAAAAGGGGGAUUUUCUACAUCUGUCUGCCGAGGAAACCUCGUGGCCCUAACUGGUUAGAAUAGGCCUAUGGAAGGCUUCAUAGUGUACCCUGCUCGCUCACCAUGGUAGUGUUUGGGGUCGACGGACCUCGGGCAUAUGGGCAACACGACUCACGGUGAAAGUGCACAACCUCUGCAGAGUGUAUAACUGUUAUAACAGUCGUGCUCACGGUCACAAGCGGCCCGGAAAACUCACAAAAUAACUGGUUACUGAUGGCUUUAAAGUACAUGGUGAUGUAUAAUUAUGCUUUAAUGUGACUUAAUGACUUACUAUGGUUCUGAUAACUGAUCAUAUGGGAUAUUUGGGAGCUUAAGCAUAAACUAAUAAUAAUUAAUGAUAAAAUACUGACCUACUAAAAUGCUGAUGCAGUAUUCCCGUUUUGUACAGAACUUGUGUUUUUUCACAUACUCUUUCUUAACUAGCAUAUGCCCGUACGUUGCUACGGAAGUAAAAUUUCAAUGUAACAAUAAUAUAAAAACUCUGUGCCAUCAAAAUAUAUAGACAAACAUACUAUUCUUAUCCACUUGCAAAUAAAAAAUCAUCAAUUUCUAAGAAAAAUCAUCAAUUUCUCAUAUGUAUUCCUCAAUAUGUACUUUUUUAAAAAAAUUUCUUGGCACGCAAAUUUAACAUCAAUUCAUCGAAACUAUUUUCUUUUAAAUUGGAAUGGGAACAUCUCAUCGUUCGAUGGGCAUAAGGCUAUAUGAAGUAGAAAAAAAUCUCUUUCGAACAUGUUCUAACAUAAUUUCUGUAUCUAUAGUAUUUUUUGGAACCCUGUAUAUAUAAAGUCUAUUUGUAAGAUCAAUGUUCCCAAGCAAUAUGACCAGCACAUAUGAUGGUACACCAUCUCAUUCUCAUAGAAACGACCUAUCAUCUUCGUAUAUUAAUCAUAUCAACCCAUUCGUUCUGCUCUGAUAAUAUAGCUUGAGCUAGAAAAAAAAUACCCCUCUUAUUUUCAUUUCUUUUUUUCUUUUCUAAUUUAUUCUCUUCUCUCUCCAUUUUUUCAUUCUCUCCCCAUUGUAUCCUCUCAACACAGCCUCUUUCCCAUUAAAAGUAUCAUUUUUGACUUUUUGUUCUUCUUAUUUGACCAUUCGUCUUAUUCAAAAUUUGUUAUAAAUAUUAUUUAUUUUUUAUGACUUGUUUAGUCAAUAACCAUGUUUUAUUUAUUUUACUAUUUGCAUAAAAAAUUGAAUAAGACGAACGAUCAAACAAUAAAACCUAAAAGUAAAAAACAACACUUUUAAUGGCACAGAGGGAAAAAACUAAUAAUUACUCAAACGUCCCAACAUGUUAGAGGUAUUUUCCUAAUACCAGUUUAAAAAAUAAAAGAAAUUAUGAGAGUUUCAUAUACAUUAAAUAAGCUGGCAUGACAUAAGAAUGAAGAGAGAGAUGAUAAAAAUUUUAGAGGAUGAAAUGAGUUUCAUGAGUAUGAAACUUAUUUACACUGCUUUGAACAUCUCAGAGUCUUGGAAACAGAAACAUAAAACUUCCACUGUGAUUGCUCUAAUAAAAUGCCUGAUAAAAAGCAUAAGGGUCCGAAACUCUGAACUCAUUUUGAGGCGAUUCUCCUAUUCUAUUUUUUUCGAGGGAAAUUCUUCUAUUCUAAUAAUAAGAAAGAAGAAAAAUAAUAGAGCUUAAGCUAUUUGGACCAACGCAACUUGGGCCAGCCUUACGAGAGGCAGCAAAUGGCCUAAACAUGUUUAAAAAAAAGUCCUAAACACCGAGCCCACAGCUUUGAAAAACCCUAGCCCAGCCCAUGACUUACUAAAACCCUAACCCCCAAGAAGGAACCACCAACGGAGGCAGCAGCCUCAUUCAUUACCUGCCCGGCGACGACUCUGUACCGAGUUGCUGACGGUGAGCGGCGCGGACGACGAGCAGGCAGCCCGCGGCGUGUCACGGGAGUUCUAGGUGAGUCUGUUAGGAGGUUAGAGCGCUCGCCGCUAUGGCGCUGCGCGAGGGGAAGUGCGCCAGGUGGUGCCGCCGCGCGGCGACGGGAAGAAGGGGAAGGGCGCCGAAUGCAUGAAUCUGUCAUAUGUGUCUCUCUACUUAUCCGCAUUGGUAGUAUUAGUCAGGUCUCCAAAAGGAGUGUGUGCACUGCUAUUUUUUUCUAUGUCCAUCAGGCAAAGAUCGACUACAAAGAAUCAAAGCAAAAAUGAUGAAGACAUUGUAUGUAGCCUGAGUAAAGGACACGCCAAGUUAUCAUGCCAAUCAAACAAAUCUCAGUUGUGUGCAUUUAAUUAAAUUUAAAUAUUGAGAACCAUGUACGAAAAGAAUAAAAAAUACAAAACCAUUUGUAUAAACAAAUCUCAACCACGUUCACAUUAUCAAUGUACAAAAUUUUGUCAACCCUAAAUAUAAUUUAAGCUUUGAGCAUUUAUUUGGUCUCAAGCAUUGUUCACCCAUUGUGAUUUCUAAUAAGCCUGCCAAACCUUUUUGAUCCAAGUUUGUCAAUCUCGUUGGAGGAUAGUGGACUGCAUCCAGUGGCUCAAGCACUACACAAAGAUGUCAAACUUUUGUUAGAUUUAACAUACAGUUAUAGAUAAAAAAUACUCCCUCCGUCUAAAAAAAAAGAAAUCCUAGCAUUUCACAACAACUAAUAAAAGAAGAGAACGUGGUUGAGAUGCACGUGUAGAUUGAAGUUAUCACUCCAUAUAUUAAAAACAGAGAACAGAGGAAUGAUAGCCUUUCUGAGUUUCUAAAUGAUUAAGACUGAAAUGCUAUCUAUGUAAACCUGUACCAUUUGUUGACGAAUUGUUUGAAGAUAAAAAUUGAACUCCUUUGUCACUGACAAUAGGAAAUAGGAAACCUUCACAGAUACAGAAUGAAAAAAACCUCCACUAAGUCAGAUAUUUGUUUAGGUGAGACAUUUCAUUGAACAGCAUGUGAGUGCACUUCUUGCCUCCGACAUUUAAUCAAAAAGCGUGCCCAAAAAUUUGUUUUCUCAUAACCGACUGAAACCCAAAGGAACCCAUUCCAUCUCAUCCUACACCAUUGAACUGCAUCACAAACCAGGAGUGUGUUCUGAUAUUGCCCAACAAUAUAGCAACUGUGACGCUGAGCACUUUAGCAGUGUGUUCUGGUAUUGCCCAACAAUAUAGCAACUGCAGGAACUGAAGACUAUUGAUUAAUUGGAUUCUUACCUUGUUAAACAGGUACCAUGUUCCCUGUUUGUUUCUUCAACCAGGCAGCAAUGAUAUAGUCCUUUUUGAGCAAUUUGGUGGUGACCCAAGCAAGAUAUCCUUUGUGAUAAGGCAGACACGAAGUGUGUGCGCACAAGUAUCAGAGGAACAUCCAGCCCAAAUUGAUAGUUGGAAUUCUUCUCAACAGACAAUGCAAAGAUAUAGACCUGAACUUCGCCUGGAAUGCCCAAAAGAUGGACAGGUCAUCAGCAGCAUCAAGUUUGCAAGCUUUGGGACACCGAGCGGCACGUGCGGAAGCUACAGCCAUGGAGAAUGCAGCAGCACUCAGGCUAUCUCAGUUGUUCAGGAGGUAACUAUAAGCUGCUCCAUUCUUAUGUCUCAAUGAACCAACUGAUUCUUAUGGGUUGCUAAUAGUGUUACUGGGAUUCUACAGGCUUGCAUUGGAGUGAGCAACUGCAGCGUGCCAGUGUCGUCGAAUUACUUUGGAAAUCCAUGGACAGGGGUCACAAAAAGCCUUGCGGUUGAAGCUGCAUGUUCGUGACAAGUCUGAUUAACAUUGGUUCAUAGGAAGCAAAAUCAGUGGGGAGAAUGUGAAACCUUCUCUAUGUAGGCAAGCAGGCAAAAAGGAAUAAAUGUUCCCAUCCUGGUCAAAAGGAAUAAAAAUAUUCCCAACAUUGCUAUAUCCAAGCUAUUAGAUGGUAUGAUUAGAAAGCAUAUUUCUUGUUAAGAUAUAAAUUCAUCCAUCAUGACAAAGAAGGUGAUCCUUUUGUAAUCCUUCUUGAAAAAAUAGAAUGGAUUGAAUUUCAAUCAAUUUGGGAAUACAGGGACGUCAACAGCACUAACUGUGUAUACAUACCUGAAAGUUAUCCGUGCAGAUGUGGAAUAGUGAUGCUUAAUCGGCCAACUGUGACAAGAGUUAAGGUUCAAUUCUCACAGGCGAAGCUAUAUAUUGUAGCCAGUUCUUCCUUCUUCUUCUUCUUCUUCUUCUUCCCCUCACAAAAAAUCUUUACAACUCUGUAAAUAAAUCGAAAGUAAACCAUCAGUUACUUUGGGUGCAUAAAGCUUUGUGAAACUUUUGUGAGAUAUAUCAUUACAAAAUUUAUUUUAGCAGUCCACUGAUAUGUCAUUCUAAUAUAUGGUAAUGGCAAAGUAAUAAUUGAGCCAAAUGGAGUCUAUCGUACAGCCAAUUGGAAGUUAUCGUAGAUCACUGAAAAAAUUCAAUACCAUGAGAAAGCAUUUUUGGAGUCUAUCUACUAUGACAGGUAGCUCUGAGAAAGGAAGACAACUCAAGAGUAAGUCAUGAAGAAGCACAACUGCACAAGUAACAAAAAGGUAGGUGCUCUUAUAUCAUCAGAAAGGGAUAGCAACUUCUAGCCGGUGAUACAAGGUGUAUUUAUACAGAAAACAAAAAGGCAAAGCCAAGUCUGCACUUUUAAGAUUAAUAGUGAAUUGAGUGUCAUUCUGUAUAAUUAAGCCUGUAUUUCUAAAAAUGCCAGAAAAGAAUGCAGCAAAGUUCAUAUAAGAUGACAUAAAUUGGACAUGGAACAUUGUACUUCUACCCAUGUUUGGCAAAACAUUUUUUUAGCACGAAUUACUACAGCAGUAUAGAGUUCCAGCAGUAUAAAAUUACCCUCUCUUUACUCCAAUUCCAGCAGCAGUAUAAAAUUAUUAUUAUUUUGCCAUGAAUCAUAUGACACAGAGAAGACAAACUGAACAACAAUAAGCAUGCCAACGCCAGGUUCUAAACCUCUUGAUAGGUUUCAUGCACACAAACAAAGGUCUACUUCUGAAUCUGUUUUCUUAACUGAGCAGGUUUUGAUGAAUAUAUCGUUUUGACCUGUGGAUUGUUGCCUAGAAAUUGCAGAACAUGGAUUUGGAGCUCUACCUAGCAUCAACAUUAUUGUGUGUACAAGUUUUGAACAAAUUUGUUGGCCGCCUGUUUCUAGCAAAGAGAAAAAACAAGAACAGUAAACAUCAAACAUGCGCUGGGCACUCCUAUCAAAUAAGGUAUGAGAGCAUCCGUCGAGCAGUUGCAUCGGGUAAAAAAUUGAAACAGGCCAGAGUCAAGGAGGGCUCAAACCUAGCGAGACGCUUCACUGACUUUGUUUGGUGGCCGUAGGUGCCGAUGGUUAGGGUUUGGCACUGGCGGACGACAGCCGCACGGCAAGGACGACAGCCGCACGGUGGAGACGAAGGAGCAGUUCAUGGUGGCGACGACGCAUCCGGUCGCAUCGAUGACGGCGCUGGUGCACGGCGAGGGCGAAUCUGUUCGUGGAGGCGGCGGCGUGUCUAGUGGGUGAAGGCCGAAGAUCUCAGUUCGCAGUUUGCCGCAGCACGGCCGCGGCUCCUCCCUGCCCAACACGGUCGCGGCUCUUCCCCGCCCAGCACGGCUGCGGCACAGGCGGCGCAGCCACGACCGCUCGCCGCCAAGCCCAGGACGAGCCGGACCCCGACGGCGGCGGCAGCGCUGCUGACCCCGAGGGCAGGGCCAGGGCGCGUGUGGUUGCUAAUGCGUCGGCGGCGCCUGGUCGCGUGGGUGACGGGGUGAGCGUGAGCCGGUGAAGGCCGAAGAUCUCAGUUCGCAGUUUGCCGCAGCACGGCCGCGGCUCCUCCCCGCCCAGCACGGCCGCGGCACAGGCGGCGCAGGCACGAUCGCUCGGCGCCAAGCCCAGGACGAGCCGUACCCCGACGACGGCGGCAGCGCUGCUGACCCCGAGAUGAGGAGGGGAUGGCGACGGAGCCGCUGAGCAGCAGUCGACAGCGCAGCCGCUGAGCGAGAUGGCGGAGGCUCGCACGGAGGCGGAGCAGGAUUUUUCGAGAGGGAGGGGAAGAAGGCUUGGCUGGUCAAAGACGAAUCGGAGGAGAUGUGAGGGCGUGGGGGUGAGAGCGGGAGGUGGCCUUGGGAGUAAAGUGAGAGCACGUUGAAGAGGGACUUUGGAGCGCUGUUGACGUCCCUGUAUUGGCUUUUUAGGGGUAGAGAUAGAGAUUGCGUGUUCUUAUUUAUUCUCUGUUUAUAAUCACUUCGAAGUAGCUUGCAUGGACAUGCUAUAACUUCUACCAAUCAACUCCUACAAAAUUGGCUAGAGAGAACAAUUAUUUCCGUGGCGGACAGGUUCAGUUACAGCCUGUAUAUUUCUUUCAUUUUAAUCUUUCCCUCUGCACUUCACAUAAUAGGAUGCUAUUUCUUUACUGCCAUAGGACAUGGUCGUGGGCACAUCAUGAUUCAUGAAACAUCCUUAGACCAGAGACUAUUGAAUCACUUAUGUAUUUGUAGCGCCUAACCGGUAAUAAAACAUACGAGAUUGGGUUUGGGACAUAUUCCAAGCAUUUGAGAAGAAUUCCCGUAUAGAAUCUGGAUAUGUUGGUCUGAAAGAUGUAAGUUCUCGUCAUACCAACAUAGUUGCGAACUUGUCAACCUUCGAAAUGUUCUAAUAGUUAUUAUUUUUUUAUAAUUUUUUUUGAGUAUUUAGGUGAAUACUGGUACAAAAGACGACAUGAUGCAGAGCUAUCUGUACCUGCUGUUCUCCCCAACAUCGUUUAUCUCGUUCGAUGAGUGGGUCUUCAACACUGAAGCCCACCCACUGAAAAUAGUUACAAGGCAUGACAGUGAAGGUGGCUCAGGCAGUGCAGAAAGUAAGGGUAUUGCUGACUCUGUAAUCCAGCCACAUCCCACAUGGAAGGAAGCAUGGAAAACCUGAGUAGAAGUUGUCCGGUGCAAAGUACAGGGCUUUUGAUUAUGCCAUCUGUGAAAGGAAAUCCAUCUUGAUGGCAGCUUGGAUUGAAAUGGCGAACGUCACACUACCGUAGCAUUAGGCCAGCCCCAUUUGAGUCUUGGGUAUUCCGUUUGGUGAGUCGUCACUUAGCUGUUGCCUCUAACCUAACCGAUGUGGGCCCUCGUCAGUUGCCAUGUAGGCAUAGCAUAGAGAUAGAGGUCGCGCCCGCGCUACAUGUCCCGCGCUGCCAGGAGCUUAGGACACUGGGAACCAGUAGUACCGCCACCACGUCAUGCCUCGUCGGAUAGGGUUAGAGAUUUAUGAAUGUGGAUUAUGGAAUUGUCUCCCACUCAUGCCUCGUUCACUCACAUGAAAAAAAUACUUUUAUUAUACAUGCUGUUAUGUACAUAUUUCGAUUUAUCUUGGAAAAGAGUUUAGAAACAAGAUAGGAUUUUGUGCUAAUAUUUGGUGGUAUGAGUCAAUAUGUAUGUGGUCUGAAGAUAAAUAAUUAGGUUCUCAUUUGCAGCAACAACAAAAUAAAAUAAAUUUCGGUAAUCGAGCUAACAUAGAAUCUGUGUGGAAAAAUGAAUACAAGAAUAGAUUAAAAAGAAUGAGAGAGAAAUUUUAUUUUCUAAAUAUAGAAAUGUUAAUAUAUUUGAUAUACAUAUAUAUAAAUAUACCUAUAUAUAUAUUUAGUGCAUAAAAAAAUUGGGUAUUCAUGAGAAUACCAGGAAUACCCUAUGUAUCCGCCUAUGCGCUACACCCUGUCGUACAGCCUUACUGUCUCUCAUGUUAAAGCGAGCGUUGCAGCAAAGGAUAGCCUCUGACACACACAACAACCACCAGGGCAACGAGAGGAAAAGCAGCAAGUUGAAAAAAGAAAGCUGCAAACUGCUGCCAUGGGACCAAACAAAAUACUCCGUAGCUUCUCGUUGCUUGCGUUGUGAGAUUGUUUGUCUUAUCUCUUUCUCGUCUACAUGGAAUACUACUUUUGGUUGAGGCUAACAGCACUAUUCACCUGUGUUGGUCAUGCCCUUAGGCAGGGACGAAGCCAGAAAAAAAAAGUUAGAAAAGGCUAAAUAAAAGUGCUUCAUCGACUUAGCUCUACUAUAACCCAUCAUAAAAAAAAUAUAAUAGCUUAAAGUAGUUUUAUAUUGAAAACAUCAAUCAGGGAUGAAACUCAUAAAAUAACUCAUAAAAAAUAAAGGUCUCAGUCCACUAUAACUUAUAUAUUUGUACUUAAAAUUAGAAGAAAAAUACUAGAAACUCCACUAGUACAGCAGCGGUAGGGGGGCUAGAGCCCCCCUAGCCCCACCGCUGGAUCCGUCGCUGCUCUUAGGGCACACUGCUGGAUGAAACUAGAGGCAGAAUGUGUUGGAUAGGAAUAUUUUUACAAUGGUUGGAGAAGCGAUGAGAACAAUUGAUGUGUCUAUAUCGGUGGGUCCAAAAUAUGAGAAGCGAUGAGAGACGAUGGGAGGCGAUAGAUGUGUCAUAUGCGUCAUGCCGCCAACCCUCGCUUCUCAACGCCUCUGAAAGUGAGGGGAUUAGGACCCCAAAUAGAUGAGCUGUAAUUCCUUUUUUAGUUCUUUUUUAAAAUAAAGGGUAAAAGGGUAAAUGCACAAUUGUAAAAGUAGUAUAGUUAGAUGAAUAACUGAAGUAAUAUAGUUUGAUGAGAUUCUACUAAUAUUUUAUUUCUAAGGCUUUUUUAAAGCUAGAUUCAUAUACGACAAGUAUUGAUAUCAUUUUUAUUUUUAGAUUUUUAAUUUAUUUCUAGAAAUUUAAAAGGAUUUAAGACGUAGUACUGUUGUGGUCUUUGGCUGACAGAACCCAUCUGCGUGCGUGCUGAUACAGGGUGGAUACAAAUCCCAAAUGCGUACGAAGUACCAAAUUCAUAAACGGUUUGAUGUUUUGAAACCAUUUUUACUUUUUAUUCAGAUUUAGAAUUCAAAAUAUAUACCGUAUUCAAAAUGCAGAAUUUAAUUUUCAUAUCCAGAAUUUAAAUUUCAUGUUUCAUAAUCAAAUCAAAUCAAAAUUUAGAAAUAUAUACGUACGUAUUGUAAAAGUGUCUUUGGCCAAUAGGGCCAGCCAAAUGGAGGCAAGCAACAUAAGAUGGAAUUAUAUAGACCAUUGUCUCCGUCUCUCCAAAGAGCCUAUUUCUUUGCAGCCCUGAAAUUAUUUUGGGUAUGGAAUCAUUUGAUAAAUUAUAUUGGGCUGGAAUUGUUUCAGGCCGGGACGCUUAACCGAACAGGUGAGCUGGGACUAAAAUUGAGAAGGCGCUGGGCCCUUGCAGCAUGCAGCAUGCGUUGACUGCUUGCUGCCUGCCAUGUUGAGCAGCCAUCGGGCCAAGUGGACUGCUGGCCCAAGCGUAGGGAGCGGACAGCGGAGGGAGGAGAAAGUAGCCCAAAAUAGGUUUUGUAUUUUUUGUGACAACUUUUGUAAUUUCAAAAUAUUACAACCUCAAAAAGAAUUUUGGGACAGAAAAUGAUUUCAAAUGGAAAAGUCAGAACCAACAAAGUUGUACAAAUCAUCGAGAUCUACAACUUUUAUUUUACUCAUUUUUCCAUGUGACUUUGUUCGAACAAUUCAAAAUUUGAACUUUAAAAUAUGAGAACUUCGAAUAAAUUUUUUGGAUAACAAAUGAUUUCAACUGAAAAAGUCACAAACAAUAAAGUUGCAGAAAUCGUCAAGAUCUACAACUUUGAAUUUGGUCAUUUCUCCAUCCAACAUCAUUUGAACAAAGUGGUAGUACACAUGUUCACAAUUGGAUACGUCUUCAUACUCUUCCCAUAUACUAUAUGAGAGAUAUAUCAAAUCAUGAACAAUGUGUGAUGUCACUUUGUUAAAAUCAUUUGUGUUUUUUUAUCUAACAAUUAUGUAACAAAACCAUGCAAAAAAUUAGAAUUUUUGACCAAAUUUAAAAGUAUUAUAAUUAUUUUAUGUUAAUUUAGGAAUAGAACGAUGAAUUAUUCCUCGCAAAAAUGUAGAAUUUCAAUUGAAAAUGUACUCAUGCAAAAUUGUAGACCCCAUCAAGAUCUACAACUUUGAUUUAGGUCCUUUCUCCAUAUGAGUUUAUUUGAAAAAUUCAAAAAUUUGAAAUUCUAAAUUCAAGAAUUUCAAACAGAACUUUUGAGCACUAAAUGACUUCAAAUGGAAAAGUCAACAACACAAAAGUUAUACAACUCAUCCAGAUCUAUAACUUUUACUUUGGUUAUUUCUCUACUUGAUUUUGUUUGAACAAUUUGAAAUUCGAACAUAAACUUUGAUGCUUUUACCCUGCAUACAGACUGUCGUGAAAAAAAGAAGUAACAGCGCUAAAUAUUGUUUAAUUAGAGAUUGUUCGAGUGGUAAGCUAACUAGGUUUUGGAGCAUGAGCUUGCAGGACCAAAUCCUUAUGCAUCACAUUUUUCACGCCAAUUUUGAUGAUUUUUUUCUCCUGCAUCACAUUUUUUACGCCAAUUUUGAUGGUUUUUUUCUCCUGCAUCACAUUUUCCUGUAACACCCAAAAUUUUACUCUUUAAAAUAGAGAAAUAUGAUUUAAUUAAAUAAUUUUUUGUGAGCAUUAUAAUAUAGGAAAAAUAAUUAAUUUUUUGCGAAAAUAAAAUUUAAUAUAGGUUUAGAAACAUGUUGAUGCAUUCAUGCCGCAGUACUUAUUUUUGUGAUGUGUGAAAUUAUGCAAAAGAAAUUUUGUUCAAAAUUCAAUUUGUAAAUGCUUUUGAAAACAAGUUGGAAAAAAUAAUAAAAAAAAGAAAUCCAUCUCUCUCCCUUCCCCCUCACUUUCGGCCUGCUUGGCCCAAUUCGAGCAGCACGCCAGCACCCUAACUCCCUCUCUCUCUCUCUCCCACUGACGAGUGGGGCCCACCUGUCGGCUCCUUCUCCCUCCCCCAACCGUUCCCUCCUUCUCUCACGCACAGGAAGCCGCAACCGGCGCCCCGCUCCCACGACGACGCACCCACGCCCACGUCUCUCGGUCUCUCGCGACUUAGAGUUGUUGCCGACCUCGCACCUCUCUCCCCCUCCUCUAUUUCCGCACUCGCAGCCGCAACCAAGCGUCUAGACAGUAAGAAAGACCACCGCUGAAGCACUGCAGACCAGCCGCGCGACGUCCCGGUGAAUCAAGCCGCCUCUGCCUCCUUUCGCUGUGCCGGUGAGCUCGCCAACUCCUUCCCUCUCUCUCUCUGCCUUUCCUGUCCAGUUGGUAGCCGCUAGGGCCUUCUCCGCGAACUCCGGUGAGCACCAUGUAAUCCAGCGCGUUCAAGCUUGAUCCAACGACCAGAAUCACUUGAUACCCCUUCGUUUGACAUUUUGUUAAAGAGCCUCCCAGGAAUCCUGUUUUCGUGCGCGCAGUCCUCGGCCAGAGGAUUUUUCCAGGAUUUCAUUCAUUUAUUUAAUUUCAUUUAAACUCUGCUUUAAUUAUAGAAUUGCCACCGCAUUGUUUUAGCUAUAAAAUCGUCGUUUGAACUCUGAAUCGAUCCGUUCAAGUUGCGUUAGUUUCGUAAUUUCGUAAGCUUCGCGUUGGUACCACUGUUGUUUAGGUUUACCACUGUUAGAUUUCCUAGUUAAUUACAAGUCCGUAGAUUGCUGUUGAAAUCUCAUUAAAAGUGUAACUUUCGCGUCGUAAGUCCGUUUUUUGUGAAUUUUGCGUUGACGUGAUCGUAGCAGCACGUAGAUGAUUUUGGAAAACUUUUAUUUAAUUUAUUUACUGCUGGUGUACUAUUCUAACUAUAGAAUUUGUUCUCUUGCAUGUCUGUCUUGGUAUGCGUGAUGAUUGUGAUGUGUUGAUCGAGCCCAGACGGUGAGGAGUAUUUCGGGAGUCCGGAGCUGUUUGGGGACCAGCAGGACCAGCAAGACCAGCAUGAGUACGUGAACUAAGGCAAGUAUAGCAUGGGCCUACCUUGUUGUCCUACUCAUUUUAAGCAUUUCACCAUGCAUGUGUAUAAUAUUACAAACUAUAAGGACAUCCUAGCUGUUGAUGACAAAUACCUUGUUUCCGAGGGUCUUUAUUGCAUAUGGGUAGAAGUGCUAGUGCUCUAACUCUAAUUAUAUAGGACCUGAAAUUAGUGAUGGAACCAUGGUUAAUUGAUUAAACAUGAUUAUGAUAAAUGGAACAUAGGGCUAUGGUACAAAUGACUGUUGGUCAUGUUGUCCUAGACCCUGCGUAAGGACUUAUCUGUCGGCAAAAGUUGGGACUUACAGUGCAACCGGGAGAGUCAUCUGGCUCUGACUUUAGUUCUGUAAUAGGAUCUCUUCUAACUUGUUAGAGGUUACUCGAAAGGGCGUAAGAGGGGCUUGCCACUUUGGGUGUAGUACUGCCCCUAUUUCUAUGAGUAUAGCCACGAUGGAAAUGUGCCAUAGAAAAGGGGGAUUUUCUACAUCUGUCUGCCGAGGAAACCUCGUGGCCCUAACUGGUUAGAAUAGGCCUAUGGAAGGCUUCAUAGUGUACCCUGCUCGCUCACCAUGGUAGUGUUUGGGGUCGACGGACCUCGGGCAUAUGGGCAACACGACUCACGGUGAAAGUGCACAACCUCUGCAGAGUGUAUAACUGUUAUAACAGUCGUGCUCACGGUCACAAGCGGCCCGGAAAACUCACAGAAUAACUGGUUACUGAUGGCUUUAAAGUACAUGGUGAUGUAUAAUUAUGCUUUAAUGUGACUUAAUGACUUACUAUGGUUCUGAUAACUGAUCAUAUGGGAUAUUUGGGAGCUUAAGCAUAAACUAAUAAUAAUUAAUGAUAAAAUACUGACCUACUAAAAUGCUGAUGCAGUAUUCCCGUUUUGUACAGAACUUGUGUUUUUUCACAUACUCUUUCUUAACUAGCAUAUGCCCGUACGUUGCUACGGAAGUAAAAUUUCAAUGUAACAAUAAUAUAAAAACUCUGUGCCAUCAAAAUAUAUAGACAAACGUACUAUUCUUAUCCACUUGCAAAUAAAAAAUCAUCAAUUUCUAAGAAAAAUCAUCAAUUUCUCAUAUGUAUUCCUCAAUAUGUACUUUUUUAAAAAAAUUUCUUGGCACGCAAAUUUAACAUCAAUUCAUCGAAACUAUUUUCUUUUAAAUUGGAAUGGGAACAUCUCAUCGUUCGAUGGGCAUAAGGCUAUAUGAAGUAGAAAAAAAUCUCUUUCGAACAUGUUCUAACAUAAUUUCUGUAUCUAUAGUAUUUUUUGGAACCCUGUAUAUAUAAAGUCUAUUUGUAAGAUCAAUGUUCCCAAGCAAUAUGACCAGCACAUAUGAUGGUACACCAUCUCAUUCUCAUAGAAACGACCUAUCAUCUUCGUAUAUUAAUCAUAUCAACCCAUUCGUUCUGCUCUGAUAAUAUAGCUUGAGCUAGAAAAAAAAUACCCCUCUUAUUUUCAUUUCUUUUUUUCUUUUCUAAUUUAUUCUCUUCUCUCUCCAUUUUUUCAUUCUCUCCCCAUUGUAUCCUCUCAACACAGCCUCUUUCCCAUUAAAAGUAUCAUUUUUGACUUUUUGUUCUUCUUAUUUGACCAUUCGUCUUAUUCAAAAUUUGUUAUAAAUAUUAUUUAUUUUUUAUGACUUGUUUAGUCAAUAACCAUGUUUUAUUUAUUUUACUAUUUGCAUAAAAAAUUGAAUAAGACGAACGAUCAAACAAUAAAACCUAAAAGUAAAAAACAACACUUUUAAUGGCACAGAGGGAAAAAACUAAUAAUUACUCAAACGUCCCAACAUGUUAGAGGUAUUUUCCUAAUACCAGUUUAAAAAAUAAAAGAAAUUAUGAGAGUUUCAUAUACAUUAAAUAAGCUGGCAUGACAUAAGAAUGAAGAGAGAGAUGAUAAAAAUUUUAGAGGAUGAAAUGAGUUUCAUGAGUAUGAAACUUAUUUACACUGCUUUGAACAUCUCAGAGUCUUGGAAACAGAAACAUAAAACUUCCACUGUGAUUGCUCUAAUAAAAUGCCUGAUAAAAAGCAUAAGGGUCCGAAACUCUGAACUCAUUUUGAGGCGAUUCUCCUAUUCUAUUUUUUUCGAGGGAAAUUCUUCUAUUCUAAUAAUAAGAAAGAAGAAAAAUAAUAGAGCUUAAGCUAUUUGGACCAACGCAACUUGGGCCAGCCUUACGAGAGGCAGCAAAUGGCCUAAACAUGUUUAAAAAAAAGUCCUAAACACCGAGCCCACAGCUUUGAAAAACCCUAGCCCAGCCCAUGACUUACUAAAACCCUAACCCCCAAGAAGGAACCACCAACGGAGGCAGCAGCCUCAUUCAUUACCUGCCCGGCGACGACUCUGUACCGAGUUGCUGACGGUGAGCGGCGCGGACGACGAGCAGGCAGCCCGCGGCGUGUCACGGGAGUUCUAGGUGAGUCUGUUAGGAGGUUAGAGCGCUCGCCGCUAUGGCGCUGCGCGAGGGGAAGUGCGCCAGGUGGUGCCGCCGCGCGGCGACGGGAAGAAGGGGAAGGGCGCCGAAUGCAUGAAUCUGUCAUAUGUGUCUCUCUACUUAUCCGCAUUGGUAGUAUUAGUCAGGUCUCCAAAAGGAGUGUGUGCACUGCUAUUUUUUUCUAUGUCCAUCAGGCAAAGAUCGACUACAAAGAAUCAAAGCAAAAAUGAUGAAGACAUUGUAUGUAGCCUGAGUAAAGGACACGCCAAGUUAUCAUGCCAAUCAAACAAAUCUCAGUUGUGUGCAUUUAAUUAAAUUUAAAUAUUGAGAACCAUGUACGAAAAGAAUAAAAAAUACAAAACCAUUUGUAUAAACAAAUCUCAACCACGUUCACAUUAUCAAUGUACAAAAUUUUGUCAACCCUAAAUAUAAUUUAAGCUUUGAGCAUUUAUUUGGUCUCAAGCAUUGUUCACCCAUUGUGAUUUCUAAUAAGCCUGCCAAACCUUUUUGAUCCAAGUUUGUCAAUCUCGUUGGAGGAUAGUGGACUGCAUCCAGUGGCUCAAGCACUACACAAAGAUGUCAAACUUUUGUUAGAUUUAACAUACAGUUAUAGAUAAAAAAUACUCCCUCCGUCUAAAAAAAAAGAAAUCCUAGCAUUUCACAACAACUAAUAAAAGAAGAGAACGUGGUUGAGAUGCACGUGUAGAUUGAAGUUAUCACUCCAUAUAUUAAAAACAGAGAACAGAGGAAUGAUAGCCUUUCUGAGUUUCUAAAUGAUUAAGACUGAAAUGCUAUCUAUGUAAACCUGUACCAUUUGUUGACGAAUUGUUUGAAGAUAAAAAUUGAACUCCUUUGUCACUGACAAUAGGAAAUAGGAAACCUUCACAGAUACAGAAUGAAAAAAACCUCCACUAAGUCAGAUAUUUGUUUAGGUGAGACAUUUCAUUGAACAGCAUGUGAGUGCACUUCUUGCCUCCGACAUUUAAUCAAAAAGCGUGCCCAAAAAUUUGUUUUCUCAUAACCGACUGAAACCCAAAGGAACCCAUUCCAUCUCAUCCUACACCAUUGAACUGCAUCACAAACCAGGAGUGUGUUCUGAUAUUGCCCAACAAUAUAGCAACUGUGACGCUGAGCACUUUAGCAGUGUGUUCUGGUAUUGCCCAACAAUAUAGCAACUGCAGGAACUGAAGACUAUUGAUUAAUUGGAUUCUUACCUUGUUAAACAGGUACCAUGUUCCCUGUUUGUUUCUUCAACCAGGCAGCAAUGAUAUAGUCCUUUUUGAGCAAUUUGGUGGUGACCCAAGCAAGAUAUCCUUUGUGAUAAGGCAGACACGAAGUGUGUGCGCACAAGUAUCAGAGGAACAUCCAGCCCAAAUUGAUAGUUGGAAUUCUUCUCAACAGACAAUGCAAAGAUAUAGACCUGAACUUCGCCUGGAAUGCCCAAAAGAUGGACAGGUCAUCAGCAGCAUCAAGUUUGCAAGCUUUGGGACACCGAGCGGCACGUGCGGAAGCUACAGCCAUGGAGAAUGCAGCAGCACUCAGGCUAUCUCAGUUGUUCAGGAGGUAACUAUAAGCUGCUCCAUUCUUAUGUCUCAAUGAACCAACUGAUUCUUAUGGGUUGCUAAUAGUGUUACUGGGAUUCUACAGGCUUGCAUUGGAGUGAGCAACUGCAGCGUGCCAGUGUCGUCGAAUUACUUUGGAAAUCCAUGGACAGGGGUCACAAAAAGCCUUGCGGUUGAAGCUGCAUGUUCGUGACAAGUCUGAUUAACAUUGGUUCAUAGGAAGCAAAAUCAGUGGGGAGAAUGUGAAACCUUCUCUAUGUAGGCAAGCAGGCAAAAAGGAAUAAAUGUUCCCAUCCUGGUCAAAAGGAAUAAAAAUAUUCCCAACAUUGCUAUAUCCAAGCUAUUAGAUGGUAUGAUUAGAAAGCAUAUUUCUUGUUAAGAUAUAAAUUCAUCCAUCAUGACAAAGAAGGUGAUCCUUUUGUAAUCCUUCUUGAAAAAAUAGAAUGGAUUGAAUUUCAAUCAAUUUGGGAAUACAGGGACGUCAACAGCACUAACUGUGUAUACAUACCUGAAAGUUAUCCGUGCAGAUGUGGAAUAGUGAUGCUUAAUCGGCCAACUGUGACAAGAGUUAAGGUUCAAUUCUCACAGGCGAAGCUAUAUAUUGUAGCCAGUUCUUCCUUCUUCUUCUUCUUCUUCUUCUUCUUCUUCCCCUCACAAAAAAUCUUUACAACUCUGUAAAUAAAUCGAAAGUAAACCAUCAGUUACUUUGGGUGCAUAAAGCUUUGUGAAACUUUUGUGAGAUAUAUCAUUACAAAAUUUAUUUUAGCAGUCCACUGAUAUGUCAUUCUAAUAUAUGGUAAUGGCAAAGUAAUAAUUGAGCCAAAUGGAGUCUAUCGUACAGCCAAUUGGAAGUUAUCGUAGAUCACUGAAAAAAUUCAAUACCAUGAGAAAGCAUUUUUGGAGUCUAUCUACUAUGACAGGUAGCUCUGAGAAAGGAAGACAACUCAAGAGUAAGUCAUGAAGAAGCACAACUGCACAAGUAACAAAAAGGUAGGUGCUCUUAUAUCAUCAGAAAGGGAUAGCAACUUCUAGCCGGUGAUACAAGGUGUAUUUAUACAGAAAACAAAAAGGCAAAGCCAAGUCUGCACUUUUAAGAUUAAUAGUGAAUUGAGUGUCAUUCUGUAUAAUUAAGCCUGUAUUUCUAAAAAUGCCAGAAAAGAAUGCAGCAAAGUUCAUAUAAGAUGACAUAAAUUGGACAUGGAACAUUGUACUUCUACCCAUGUUUGGCAAAACAUUUUUUUAGCACGAAUUACUACAGCAGUAUAGAGUUCCAGCAGUAUAAAAUUACCCUCUCUUUACUCCAAUUCCAGCAGCAGUAUAAAAUUAUUAUUAUUUUGCCAUGAAUCAUAUGACACAGAGAAGACAAACUGAACAACAAUAAGCAUGCCAACGCCAGGUUCUAAACCUCUUGAUAGGUUUCAUGCACACAAACAAAGGUCUACUUCUGAAUCUGUUUUCUUAACUGAGCAGGUUUUGAUGAAUAUAUCGUUUUGACCUGUGGAUUGUUGCCUAGAAAUUGCAGAACAUGGAUUUGGAGCUCUACCUAGCAUCAACAUUAUUGUGUGUACAAGUUUUGAACAAAUUUGUUGGCCGCCUGUUUCUAGCAAAGAGAAAAAACAAGAACAGUAAACAUCAAACAUGCGCUGGGCACUCCUAUCAAAUAAGGUAUGAGAGCAUCCGUCGAGCAGUUGCAUCGGGUAAAAAAUUGAAACAGGCCAGAGUCAAGGAGGGCUCAAACCUAGCGAGACGCUUCACUGACUUUGUUUGGUGGCCGUAGGUGCCGAUGGUUAGGGUUUGGCACUGGCGGACGACAGCCGCACGGCAAGGACGACAGCCGCACGGUGGAGACGAAGGAGCAGUUCAUGGUGGCGACGACGCAUCCGGUCGCAUCGAUGACGGCGCUGGUGCACGGCGAGGGCGAAUCUGUUCGUGGAGGCGGCGGCGUGUCUAGUGGGUGAAGGCCGAAGAUCUCAGUUCGCAGUUUGCCGCAGCACGGCCGCGGCUCCUCCCUGCCCAACACGGUCGCGGCUCUUCCCCGCCCAGCACGGCUGCGGCACAGGCGGCGCAGCCACGACCGCUCGCCGCCAAGCCCAGGACGAGCCGGACCCCGACGGCGGCGGCAGCGCUGCUGACCCCGAGGGCAGGGCCAGGGCGCGUGUGGUUGCUAAUGCGUCGGCGGCGCCUGGUCGCGUGGGUGACGGGGUGAGCGUGAGCCGGUGAAGGCCGAAGAUCUCAGUUCGCAGUUUGCCGCAGCACGGCCGCGGCUCCUCCCCGCCCAGCACGGCCGCGGCACAGGCGGCGCAGGCACGAUCGCUCGGCGCCAAGCCCAGGACGAGCCGUACCCCGACGACGGCGGCAGCGCUGCUGACCCCGAGAUGAGGAGGGGAUGGCGACGGAGCCGCUGAGCAGCAGUCGACAGCGCAGCCGCUGAGCGAGAUGGCGGAGGCUCGCACGGAGGCGGAGCAGGAUUUUUCGAGAGGGAGGGGAAGAAGGCUUGGCUGGUCAAAGACGAAUCGGAGGAGAUGUGAGGGCGUGGGGGUGAGAGCGGGAGGUGGCCUUGGGAGUAAAGUGAGAGCACGUUGAAGAGGGACUUUGGAGCGCUGUUGACGUCCCUGUAUUGGCUUUUUAGGGGUAGAGAUAGAGAUUGCGUGUUCUUAUUUAUUCUCUGUUUAUAAUCACUUCGAAGUAGCUUGCAUGGACAUGCUAUAACUUCUACCAAUCAACUCCUACAAAAUUGGCUAGAGAGAACAAUUAUUUCCGUGGCGGACAGGUUCAGUUACAGCCUGUAUAUUUCUUUCAUUUUAAUCUUUCCCUCUGCACUUCACAUAAUAGGAUGCUAUUUCUUUACUGCCAUAGGACAUGGUCGUGGGCACAUCAUGAUUCAUGAAACAUCCUUAGACCAGAGACUAUUGAAUCACUUAUGUAUUUGUAGCGCCUAACCGGUAAUAAAACAUACGAGAUUGGGUUUGGGACAUAUUCCAAGCAUUUGAGAAGAAUUCCCGUAUAGAAUCUGGAUAUGUUGGUCUGAAAGAUGUAAGUUCUCGUCAUACCAACAUAGUUGCCAACUUGUCAACCUUCGAAAUGUUCUAAUAGUUAUUAUUUUUUUAUAAUUUUUUUUGAGUAUUUAGGUGAAUACUGGUACAAAAGACGACAUGAUGCAGAGCUAUCUGUACCUGCUGUUCUCCCCAACAUCGUUUAUCUCGUUCGAUGAGUGGGUCUUCAACACUGAAGCCCACCCACUGAAAAUAGUUACAAGGCAUGACAGUGAAGGUGGCUCAGGCAGUGCAGAAAGUAAGGGUAUUGCUGACUCUGUAAUCCAGCCACAUCCCACAUGGAAGGAAGCAUGGAAAACCUGAGUAGAAGUUGUCCGGUGCAAAGUACAGGGCUUUUGAUUAUGCCAUCUGUGAAAGGAAAUCCAUCUUGAUGGCAGCUUGGAUUGAAAUGGCGAACGUCACACUACCGUAGCAUUAGGCCAGCCCCAUUUGAGUCUUGGGUAUUCCGUUUGGUGAGUCGUCACUUAGCUGUUGCCUCUAACCUAACCGAUGUGGGCCCUCGUCAGUUGCCAUGUAGGCAUAGCAUAGAGAUAGAGGUCGCGCCCGCGCUACAUGUCCCGCGCUGCCAGGAGCUUAGGACACUGGGAACCAGUAGUACCGCCACCACGUCAUGCCUCGUCGGAUAGGGUUAGAGAUUUAUGAAUGUGGAUUAUGGAAUUGUCUCCCACUCAUGCCUCGUUCACUCACAUGAAAAAAAUACUUUUAUUAUACAUGCUGUUAUGUACAUAUUUCGAUUUAUCUUGGAAAAGAGUUUAGAAACAAGAUAGGAUUUUGUGCUAAUAUUUGGUGGUAUGAGUCAAUAUGUAUGUGGUCUGAAGAUAAAUAAUUAGGUUCUCAUUUGCAGCAACAACAAAAUAAAAUAAAUUUCGGUAAUCGAGCUAACAUAGAAUCUGUGUGGAAAAAUGAAUACAAGAAUAGAUUAAAAAGAAUGAGAGAGAAAUUUUAUUUUCUAAAUAUAGAAAUGUUAAUAUAUUUGAUAUACAUAUAUAUAAAUAUACCUAUAUAUACUUAGUGCAUAAAAAAAUUGGGUAUUCAUGAGAAUACCAGGAAUACCCUAUGUAUCCGCCUAUGCGCUACAUCCUGUCGUACAGCCUUACUGUCUCUCAUGUUAGAGCGAGCGUUGCAGCAAAGGAUAGCCUCUGACACACACAACAACCAUCAGGGCAACGAGAGGAAAAGCAGCAAGUUGAAAAAAGAAAGCUGCAAACUGCUGCCAUGGGACCAAACAAAAUACUCCGUAGCUUCUCGUUGCUUGCGUUGUGAGAUUGUUUGUCUUAUCUCUUUCUCGUCUACAUGGAAUACUACUUUUGGUUGAGGCUAACAGCACUAUUCACCUGUGUUGGUCAUGCCCUUAGGCAGGGACGAAGCCAGAAAAAAAGUUAGAAAAGGCUAAAUAAAAGUGCUUCAUCGACUUAGCUCUACUAUAACCCAUCAUAAAAAAAAAUAUAAUAGCUUAAAGUAGUUUUAUAUUGAAAACAUCAAUCAGGGAUGAAACUCAUAAAAUAACUCAUAAAAAAUAAAGGUCUCAGUCCACUAUAACUUAUAUAUUUGUACUUAAAAUUAGAAGAAAAAUACUAGAAACUCCACUGGUCCAGCAGCGGUAGGGGGGCUAGAGCCCCCCUAGCCCCACCGCUGGAUCCGUCGCUGCUCUUAGGGCACACGGCUGGAUGAAACUAGAGGCAGAAUGUGUUGGAUAGGAAUAUUUUUACAAUGGUUGGAGAAGCGAUGAGAACAAUUGAUGUGUCUAUAUCGGUGGGUCCAAAAUAUGAGAAGCGAUGAGAGACGAUGAGAGGCGAUAGAUGUGUCAUAUGCGUCAUGCCGCCAACCCUCGCUUCUCAACGCCUCUGAAAGUGAGGGGAUUAGGACCCCAAAUAGAUGAGCUGUAAUUCCUUUUUUAGUUCUUUUUUAAAAUAAAGGGUAAAAGGGUAAAUGCACAAUUGUAAAAGUAGUAUAGUUAGAUGAAUAACUGAAGUAAUAUAGUUUGAUGAGAUUCUACUAAUAUUUUAUUUCUAAGGCUUUUUUAAAGCUAGAUUCAUAUACGACAAGUAUUGAUAUCAUUUUUAUUUUUAGAUUUUUAAUUUAUUUCUAGAAAUUUAAAAGGAUUUAAGACGUAGUACUGUUGUGGUCUUUGGCUGACAGAACCCAUCUGCGUGCGUGCUGAUACAGGGUGGAUACAAAUCCCAAAUGCGUACGAAGUACCAAAUUCAUAAACGGUUUGAUGUUUUGAAACCAUUUUUACUUUUUAUUCAGAUUUAGAAUUCAAAAUAUAUACCGUAUUCAAAAUGCAGAAUUUAAUUUUCAUAUCCAGAAUUUAAAUUUCAUGUUUCAUAAUCAAAUCAAAUCAAAAUUUAGAAAUAUAUACGUACGUAUUGUAAAAGUGUCUUUGGCCAAUAGGGCCAGCCAAAUGGAGGCAAGCAACAUAAGAUGGAAUUAUAUAGACCAUUGUCUCCGUCUCUCCAAAGAGCCUAUUUCUUUGCAGCCCUGAAAUUAUUUUGGGUAUGGAAUCAUUUGAUAAAUUAUAUUGGGCUGGAAUUGUUUCAGGCCGGGACGCUUAACCGAACAGGUGAGCUGGGACUAAAAUUGAGAAGGCGCUGGGCCCUUGCAGCAUGCAGCAUGCGUUGACUGCUUGCUGCCUGCCAUGUUGAGCAGCCAUCGGGCCAAGUGGACUGCUGGCCCAAGCGUAGGGAGCGGACAGCGGAGGGAGGAGAAAGUAGCCCAAAAUAGGUUUUGUAUUUUUUGUGACAACUUUUGUAAUUUCAAAAUAUUACAACCUCAAAAAGAAUUUUGGGACAGAAAAUGAUUUCAAAUGGAAAAGUCAGAACCAACAAAGUUGUACAAAUCAUCGAGAUCUACAACUUUUAUUUUACUCAUUUUUCCAUGUGACUUUGUUCGAACAAUUCAAAAUUUGAACUUUAAAAUAUGAGAACUUCGAAUAAAUUUUUUGGAUAACAAAUGAUUUCAACUGAAAAAGUCACAAACAAUAAAGUUGCAGAAAUCGUCAAGAUCUACAACUUUGAAUUUGGUCAUUUCUCCAUCCAACAUCAUUUGAACAAAGUGGUAGUACACAUGUUCACAAUUGGAUACGUCUUCAUACUCUUCCCAUAUACUAUAUGAGAGAUAUAUCAAAUCAUGAACAAUGUGUGAUGUCACUUUGUUAAAAUCAUUUGUGUUUUUUUAUCCAACAAUUAUGUAACAAAACCAUGCAAAAAAUUAGAAUUUUUGACCAAAUUUAAAAGUAUUAUAAUUAUUUUAUGUUAAUUUAGGAAUAGAACGAUGAAUUAUUCCUCGCAAAAAUGUAGAAUUUCAAUUGAAAAUGUACUCAUGCAAAAUUGUAGACCCCAUCAAGAUCUACAACUUUGAUUUAGGUCCUUUCUCCAUAUGAGUUUAUUUGAAAAAUUCAAAAAUUUGAAAUUCUAAAUUCAAGAAUUUCAAACAGAACUUUUGAGCACUAAAUGACUUCAAAUGGAAAAGUCAACAACACAAAAGUUAUACAACUCAUCCAGAUCUAUAACUUUUACUUUGGUUAUUUCUCUACUUGAUUUUGUUUGAACAAUUUGAAAUUCGAACAUAAACUUUGAUGCUUUUACCCUGCAUACAGACUGUCGUGAAAAAAAGAAGUAACAGCGCUAAAUAUUGUUUAAUUAGAGAUUGUUCGAGUGGUAAGCUAACUAGGUUUUGGAGCAUGAGCUUGCAGGACCAAAUCCUUAUGCAUCACAUUUUUCACGCCAAUUUUGAUGAUUUUUUUCUCCUGCAUCACAUUUUUUACGCCAAUUUUGAUGGUUUUUUUCUCCUGCAUCACAUUUUCCUGUAACACCCAAAAUUUUACUCUUUAAAAUAGAGAAAUAUGAUUUAAUUAAAUAAUUUUUUGUGAGCAUUAUAAUAUAGGAAAAAUAAUUAAUUUUUUGCGAAAAUAAAAUUUAAUAUAGGUUUAGAAACAUGUUGAUGCAUUCAUGCCGCAGUACUUAUUUUUGUGAUGUGUGAAAUUAUGCAAAAGAAAUUUUGUUCAAAAUUCAAUUUGUAAAUGCUUUUGAAAACAAGUUGGAAAAAAUAAUAAAAAAAAGAAAUCCAUCUCUCUCCCUUCCCCCUCACUUUCGGCCUGCUUGGCCCAAUUCGAGCAGCACGCCAGCACCCUAACUCCCUCUCUCUCUCUCCCACUGACGAGUGGGGCCCACCUGUCGGCUCCUUCUCCCUCCCCCAACCGUUCCCUCCUUCUCUCACGCACAGGAAGCCGCAACCGGCGCCCCGCUCCCACGACGACGCACCCACGCCCACGUCUCUCGGUCUCUCGCGACUUAGAGUUGUUGCCGACCUCGCACCUCUCUCCCCCUCCUCUAUUUCCGCACUCGCAGCCGCAACCAAGCGUCUAGACAGUAAGAAAGACCACCGCUGAAGCACUGCAGACCAGCCGCGCGACGUCCCGGUGAAUCAAGCCGCCUCUGCCUCCUUUCGCUGUGCCGGUGAGC
rnacentral:lncRNA from 1 species